rnacentral:rRNA from 1 species
AAUCACUUGUCUUUUAAAUGGAGACCUGUAUGAAUGGCAUAACGAGGGCUUAACUGUCUCCUUUUUCAAGUCAAUGAAAUUGAUCUUCCCGUGCAGAAGCGGGAAUAAUAACAUAAGACGAGAAGACCCUAUGAAGCUUUAGACACCAAGAUAGAUCAUGUUAAACACCCCUUGUUAAAGGGUUAAACCAAAUGAACCCUAUCCUACUGUCUUUGGUUGGGGCGACCGCGGGGAAACAAAUAACCCCCACGUGGAAUGGGAGCACCCCCUCCUACAACUAAGAGCUGCAGCUCUAGUUAGCAGAAUUUCUGACCAAUAAGAUCCGGCAAUGCCGAUCAACGAACCGAGUUACUCUAGGGAUAACAGCGCAAUCCNNUUUUAGAGCCC